rnacentral:vault_RNA from 13 species
GCGCUGGUUUAGCUCAGUGGUUACUUCACCACAAAUCCUUUGGAUUUCGCGGUCUCCUCCCAACUGGGAUCCAACCACGGGCGCUGCUCAGCGUUUUU